rnacentral:tRNA from 1 species
UCCCCGGUAGCUCAAUGGUAGAGCACCCGGCUGUUAACCGGGUGGUUGUUGGUUCGAGUCCAACCCGGGGAGCCA